rnacentral:siRNA from 1 species
GGAGUUCUGAUGGGAUCCGGUGCA